rfam:Vibrio anguillarum 775 chromosome I, complete sequence.
GCACUUAACCUCACUGUUCUUUUUUGACUUCUUUUUUCUCCAAUAACCUUGGAGGCAUGGUCGUUGACAGAAGAUAAGUCAAAAACGAACAGGAAGCCUCCCACUGGGAGGCUUUUUUAC